ACCGGCUUGGUUGAACCUACCUACAUGUGGUAUCAGACCUAAUUAAAUAGGCCGAUUCAAACAGAGACCGAAUUAGGCCAGUAGACUGUAAAUGUGAUCGGUAACGAACAAUUAGGAUGCCAUAGACAAGCAAACCUUUCGUCAAAAAACCACCACCACAAACACCCCCACACAGCACUCCGCACCGCAACCCCCCACCCCAACGCAAAAAAAAAUUCAAUGGCAAUCAUUCCUGAAAACCCUAAAAUUCCAAGAAUCGCAUAUAGUGAGGAAGACGAUGAUAGAAUCAGCAAUCUGCCAAUACCAAUUCUUCAUCACAUAUUGUCAUCUCUUGACACCGUUGAUGUUAUCGGAUUAAGCGCUGUUUCAAGACAAUGGCGGCAAUUGUGGCUGUCAAUGCCCUGCUUGUAUUUCGACAUCUUCCACAAAGUUUGGUCAGAUAAAAUGAAAACGUUGUCGCUUCUUGCUGUCAAUGAUCAAUUCAAAGAUUUUGUCAACUGGGUAUUAAUGUCUCAAAAUAGGUCAGUUAAUAUUAAAAAAAAAAUUUGGCUUAACUGCCUUAAUUCUGAUGAUGAUUAUACAAUUUAUAGAUGGAUCAAUGUUAUGACUCGGAGAAAUGUGGAGGACAUUAUUCUUCUUAUAAUUUUAGGGGCUGAGAUACCAAUUCAGUUGCCUCAUUGUCUUUUAACUUGUGAAUCACUUAUAUAGUUGAAGAUUUGUUUUGGAAGACACACUGUUGUAAAUUUGCCGCCUUUCUACUGGUUUUAGGCCCUUAAAGUAUCUUUUCCUAUUGAAUGUUGAGUUAUCCAAUUAUAUUUCCUUUCGAAACUUUAUCUCAAGUUGUCCCUUUCUCGAGAAUUUGAAUUUGCACGCCUGUAACUUUCGUGAUUUUAAGAUUCUCGACAUUUUUUCUACUGGGUUGACGGAACUAGUUAUAGAUAAUAAUGGUAUUAGUGGUGCCUGUGGUUAUGGUUUAAAGAAUUGUGAGCUGAGAGUUGCUUGCCCCAGUCUUUCGUCCUUCAGUUUCAUAGGUCCUUUAUCACGGGACUUCACGCUUCAGUAUGUAAAAUCUUUGUGGAACGUGUUCCUUGGCAUAGAUUGUCUCGCUCAACAUGAAACUAUUGAAGAAUGGCAUCCUCUUAUAUGUAAGAUCUUCAAAGGUCUUUGCAAUAUUAAAGUUUUGAAAUUAUCAGUUCAACAUUCGGAGGUAGUGGUUGUACCACCAUAUUCUUUACCCAGCAGUUGCUCUAGUGCACAGCAUUUCAUUCCAUAACUUGAAGUCCUUAAAACUGAGGAUGUGCAUGGAUGAUUGGAGAAUGAAGUUAUUGGUCAACCUGCUCAAAUGUUCCCCAAAUCUAGAAGCUCUUACAAUAUAUUUUGACAUGUGUGAAUUUAGUAAGUGGGAAGCACCAGAUCAGGCUAUCCCAUGUUUGACAAAUCAUGUGAAUGUGGUUGAACUAUUUGAGGUUAAUGGUAAACAAAAUGAACUUGAGUUGAUGAAGUUUCUACUAAAGCAUGGACAAGUACUGCAGAAAAUGAGUAUUAAUUGGCCAAUUGACAUCAAGGGUGUUGAAGAGAUUAUCCCAGAGAUUAUGAAAUUUCCAAAAACAUCUUCAGAUGUUGCACUGAGAUUUCAUGAGCCUAAGUUUCUGUUUGAGUUUUCCGAGUUAUGAAAUAUGGAAAUUUAUGUAGUAUGAUUGCUGUUGGCUUCGUGUUAACAUAUAUUGGUUAGUUUUAGCUUGAUUUAAAGGGUUUUUUUUUUGCAAAAUUAUUGUAGCAGCACGGAUCACUAUGGACAGUGUACAGUGGUUCUGCCCAUUGUAUGGUUAACUGUUUGCUUCCUCAUUCUUUGUGAUUCCAAAGGACAUCCAUUGUAUAAUGAUUCAAAUCCUUGACAUCUGGGAUGUACAGAUUCAUAACUAAAACCAGAUCAUCUCAUCCAAUGACAACCACUUCUACUGCAUCAAACUGAUAGACCCCCGAUAAUCAAGACUUAUAAAAGGAAGGGCAAAAAGGGGAUUGCAACACCAACAGCUAUAAUUCAGAAGGCAAUUCUGGAUAACCAUCACACAAACUUGGAAGUACAGUUGAGCAAACACAAAAACAAGGAAGUAGCAGAUCACAUGGCCAUAAUCAUAGAAGCAGAUCUCACAGGCAAGGAAAGAAAUCAAGAGGAGCAUACAAUCGGGAAGGAGACAGAUGUUCAGGGAUGGAGCUGUACGUUAAAUGAAGAAGAAAGUUGUGAGAAUGGGGCAUCAGGAAAAAUAGAAUUUGGUUAGGUUUUGGUUUGGGGGGCUUAGGCCUAGGUCAUUGGUUGGCUGCCUCGGCAGUGUUGGUUGUAUUGGUUUUUCUUGGUUCCUUGAUUUAUUUCAGCUAGUUAUUGUAAUCUGCACUAUUUCAUUCAAUAAAGCAGCCAUUACAUUUAUUCAUAUAAUUGUGCUGAAUACAAUCCAUUAGUUCGUCGGUUACAUUCAUUCCACAAAUUAGCAAAAUACAGUUCUUCUACAUUGAUACAGUACUUGCAACAGGUGCUCAACAGUUGACUUCGUCUCCAGAAGGAUCCAGCUCCCGCAGAAGACAACUCAACAAGGUCAGGUACGCAACACAAACCAAACUCUCUGAGCAAGGCAAAUCUUACACUCUACAGAUUGGAGAGCCGAGGUCGACAACUAAUGUCUGAGCUUUUUGAGGUUGCUGGUUGCAAGAAUGAACUUGAAUUGGUGAGGUAUCUGCUAAAAGUAUGGAGGUGUACUGCAGAAAAUGAAUAUACACUGGAUGAAUGGUGCUGAGAAUGCCAAGGAAAUUAUAUCCGAGGUAACAAUGUUUCCUAGAUCUGCUAUUGAAUUAACAUUCAUUUAGCUUACUUUUAUCUGUUAUUAUUGAGAUAUGUAAAAAUAGGAAAACCAUAAUUAAAAGAAGGACUUUGACUAUUGUUGGAUUCAUGUCAUUUAUGUAUAUUGUGAAGCUUUAUAAUUGUAUAUCUUAUGUUGUGGACACUGAUCUUUCUGUGCUCUCAUGGUUACUGAAAUUGUAAGGAUGAUUGUAUGGUA